rnacentral:rRNA from 1 species
AUUGAACGCUGGCGGCAUGCCUAACACAUGCAAGUCGAACGAGUGGCGGACGGGUGAGUAAUGUCUGGGAACCUGCCUGAUGGAGGGGGAUGACUACUGGAAACGGUGGCUACUACCGCUUACCACGAGUUGUGCCCAGAUGGGAUUAGCUAGUUGGUGGGGUAACGGCUCACCAAGGCGACGCGCCCUAGCCGGUCUGAGAGGCUGACCGGCCACACUGGAACUGAGACACGGCCCAGACUCCUACGGGAGGCAGCAGUGGGGAAUAUUGGACAAUGGGCGCAAGCCUGAUGCAGCCAUGCCGCGUGUAUGAAGAAGGCCUUCGGGUUGUAAAGUACUUUCAGCGGGGAGGCGUUACCCGAAGAAGAAGCACCGGCUAACUCCGUGCCAGCAGCCGCGGUAAUUC